AUAAAGAUGUUUUAAUUUAAUAAAAAGAUUUACAACCUUUCUUUUUAGGUUUUUGUUCCAGAAUAGAAAUUGUUGUUUGUUUUCUAAUUUUUCAGAACAAUUUUAGUAAUAAAAACAACUUUUUACUGAAGUAAAAAUUACUCUUGAUUAAAAACCAUUUUAUUGAGUUGCCUCAAGACAAUUUACCGGUCUUGUCAAGAGCACCACAAAAAAGCCUUUAAUUAGAAAGUUCACGCCUCCUUCUUUAGCAAUGUGGCGAAAUAUGCACAGAGCUUGCUUCAAACCCUGGAUAUUUUGCUUCUAAAGCAAGCGCUCAAACCACUGCGCAAAAGCCGCACUUUUACUCGUUAAAAAAAAAUAUAUCAAAACACGUUAA